UACGUAGGGGGCAAGCGUUGUCCGGAUUUAUUGGGCGUAAAGCGCUCGCAGGUGGUCCGUCGCGUCGUGCGUGAAAGACCCCGGCUCAACUGGGGAGGGUCGUGCGAUACGGGCAGGCUGGAGUUCGGUAGGGGAGACUGGAAUUCCUGGUGUAGCGGUGAAAUGCGCAGAUAUCAGGAGGAACACCGGUGGCGAAGGCGGGUCUCUGGGCCGAUACUGACGCUGAGGAGCGAAAGCGUGGGGAGCGAACGGG
rnacentral:rRNA from 1 species